GAUGAACGCUGGCGGCGUGCCUAAUACAUGCAAGUCGAGCGAACAGAUGAGGAGCUUGCUCCUCUGACGUUAGCGGCGGACGGGUGAGUAACACGUGGAUAACCUACCUAUAAGACUGGGAUAACUUCGGGAAACCGGAGCUAAUACCGGAUAAUAUAUUGAACCGCAUGGUUCAAUAGUGAAAGACGGUUUUGCUGUCACUUAUAGAUGGAUCCGCGCCGCAUUAGCUAGUUGGUAAGGUAACGGCUUACCAAGGCAACGAUGCGUAGCCGACCUGAGAGGGUGAGCGGCCACACGGGAACUGUGACACGGUCCAGACUACUACGGGAGGCAGCAGUAGGGAAUCUUCCGCAAUGGGCGACAGCCUGACGGAGCAACGCAGCGUGAGUGAUGAAGGUCUUCGGAUCGUAAAACUCUGUUAUUAGGGAAGAACAAAUGUGUAAGUAACUAUGCACGUCUUGACGGUACCUAAUCAGAAAGCCACGGCUAACUACGUG
rnacentral:rRNA from 1 species